rnacentral:rRNA from 1 species
UAUAGAUGGAUCCGCGCUGCAUUAGCUAGUUGGUAAGGUAACGGCUUACCAAGGCAACGAUGCAUAGCCGACCUGAGAGGGUGAUCGGCCACACUGGAACUGAGACACGGUCCAGACUCCUACGGGAGGCAGCAGUAGGGAAUCUUCCGCAAUGGGCGAAAGCCUGACGGAGCAACGCCGCGUGAGUGAUGAAGGUCUUCGGAUCGUAAAACUCUGUUAUUAGGGAAGAACAUAUGUGUAAGUAACUGUGCACAUCUUGACGGUACCUAAUCAGAAAGCCACGGCUAACUACGUGCCAGCAGCCGCGGUAAUACGUAGGUGGCAAGCGUUAUCCGGAAUUAUUGGGCGUAAAGCGCGCGUAGGCGGUUUUUUAAGUCUGAUGUGAAAGCCCACGGCUCAACCGUGGAGGGUCAUUGGAAACUGGAAAACUUGAGUGCAGAAGAGGAAAGUGGAAUUCCAUGUGUAGCGGUGAAAUGCGCAGAGAUAUGGAGGAACACCAGUGGCGAAGGCGACU